GAUGAACGCUAGCUACAGGCUUAACACAUGCAAGUCGAGGGACCGGCGCACGGGAGAGUAACACGUAUCCAACCUUCCCUUUACUCGGGGAUAGCCUUUCGAAGGAAAGAUUAAUACCCGAUGUAAAGGAUGGGGAUGCGUUCCAUUAGGUUGUUGGUGAGGUAACGGCCCACCAAGCCUUCGCUGGAUAGGGGUUCUGAGAGGAAGCUCCCCCACAUUGGAACUGGGACACGGUCCAAACUCGUACGGGAGGUAGCAGUGAGGAAUAUUGGUAAAUGGGCGUUAGCCUGAACCAGCCAAGUAGCGUGAAGGAUGAAGGGUUAUGGGUCGUAAACUUCUUUUAUAUAAGAAUAUGUAUUAUAUGAAUAAGGAUCGGCUAACUCCGUGCCAGCAGCCGCGGUAAUUC
rnacentral:rRNA from 1 species